CCUACGGGAGACAGCAGUGGGGGAUAUUGCACAAUGGGGGGAACCCUGAUGCAGCGACGCCGCGUGGGUGAAGGAGUGCUUCGGCAUGUAAAGCCCUAUCGGCAGGGAAGAAGCAAGACGGUACCUGACUAAGAAGCCCCGGCUAACUACGUGCCAGCAGCCGCGGUAAUACGUAGGGGGCGAGCGUUAUCCGGAUUCACUGGGUGGAAAGGGAGCGUAGACGGCCAUGCAAGCCAGGGGUGAAAGCCCGGGGCCCAACCCCGGGACUGCCCUUGGAACGGCAUGGCUGGAGUGCGGGAGGGGCAGGCGGAAUUCCUGGUGUAGCGGUGAAAUGCGUAGAUAUCAGGAGGAACACCGGCGGCGAAGGCGGCCUGCUGGACCGCGACUGACGUUGAGGCUCGAAAGCGUGGGGAGCGAACAGGAUUAGAUACCCCGGUAGUC
rnacentral:rRNA from 1 species